CAAACGACCCUGACAAGAGAUAGUGAACUUUGUGACCCAAGCUGUUGCCACUUUAAAUAGAGAAACUAUAAAGCAUGCUUUUGAAUGUUGUGGAAUUGCUCCUCAUGGACAGACUGUAGAACAUAGUCUCUUAAGCUCACUCUUACAGGAUGUUUUGUCUGGCCUUGAGGUAAAUGCGCCAGAUGCACAUAAUGACAAAAUUGAAGAAGAU